rfam:Pseudogymnoascus pannorum VKM F-4246 contig_2169, whole genome shotgun sequence.
GGCCUCCUGGCCCAAUGGCAAGGCGUUUGACUUCGAUUUCCGCUUCGGCGGCUAUAUGGUAUCAAAAGAUUGUCGGUUCGAUCCCGGCGGGGGUCA